rnacentral:rRNA from 1 species
AGCAUAUCAAUAAGCGGAGGAAAAGAAACCAACAGGGAUUGCCCCAGUAACGGCGAGUGAAGCGGCAAGGGCUCAAAUUUGAAAUCUGGCCCCUCCGGGGUCCGAGUUGUAAUUUGCAGAGGAUGCUUCGGGUGCGGCCCCGGUCUAAGUCCCCUGGAACGGGGCGUCAUAGAGGGUGAGAAUCCCGUCUGGGAUCGUCGGCCGUGCCCGUGUGAAGCUCCUUCGACGAGUCGAGUUGUUUGGGAAUGCAGCUCUAAAUGGGUGGUAAAUUUCAUCUAAAGCUAAAUACUGGCCGGAGACCGAUAGCGCACAAGUAGAGUGAUCGAAAGAUGAAAAGCACUUUGAAAAGAGAGUUAAACAGCACGUGAAAUUGUUGAAAGGGAAGCGCUUGCGACCAGACUCGCCCGCGGGGUUCAGCCGGGAUUCGUCCCGGUGUACUUCCCCGCGGUCGGGCCAGCGUCGGUUUGGGCGGCCGGUCAAAGGCCCCGGGAAUGUAUCGCCCUCCGGGGCGUCUUAUAGCCCGGGGUGCAAUGCGGCCUGCCCGGACCGAGGAACGCGCUUNGGCACGGACGCUGGCGUAAUGGUCGUAAGCGGCCCGU